ACGAUAACUAGUGCACUUUUAAUUUGCACGAUUUAAAUUUUUAUUGCAAUGAAGCAAAGUGCAUCGUUGGAAGUAUAAAUAGGAAAUACGCGACAGCGAAGCGGUAAGAUACUCGCCGAGAUAAGUGGAGUAAAGAGGCAUUAAGAGUGAGAAGGGUUCGAAGAUUUCGCAUAAAUUACGAACAAAGUCAAGAGAAGUCAAGAAAAGAGAAUCGAGAAAGCGGUAAAGAUACGAAAUUAGAGAAAUGAAGUUCUUCGUGGGUAUUUUGUUAAUAUUUACAACGAUGAUGCUAAUCUUAGCAUCAUCGAUAGUCGCUCAGGAGGAAGAACGACAUAACGAUAUCGUUCUAAAAAGUAUUGUAGAGUUUCCUCGAAGAACAACUCCAAUUCCAUGUUCGGUAGGCCAGAAACUGGAUUCCAGAGGAAAAUGUCGCACGCCCGCAUAAUGACCGAGAGACACAGGUUCAUGGAUAUCAACAUUUCAGCAAUAUCAGCUAAAAGCUAAAAGCGAGACCGUAGAAAAUGUCGUAGCAACGACAGAAGGAUGAAAAUAUUCUGUAUUUUGUAUCCGCAGGAUUUCAAUAAAUUCACAUUGUUAAUUUUAA